CUUUUCACCGCUCCCGCCCGUUGUUUCAAGCGCUUCGGGACUACAAUCCCAGCAUGCUCCGGGCUCGGGGGCGGGGUGCAGUUCUUGUGGGAGGAGUGGGGCGGGGCGGGGCGCGCCUGGCCAGGCAGGCUGGAAACGGUAGCUCUUAACUGUUCCCCGCCCGUUGAUGACGAGGCGGCUGGACUAGAAUCCCAGCAGGAAACAUGAGAGGAGGCGGGCAGCCCAAGAGGGUUGGGCAGGGCAGUGUGGACCUCGCCGCUUCCACAGCGAUGCUGGCUACUGAUCGCGGGCACCUCCUUGCCAUGGGAUUCUGGUUCCCACUGCUCCCCGCUGCAGACAGCCCAUAGCUGGUUGCAUCUUGUCAGAGGCAAACACCCGGAGAUGGAGAUGUGUGUCUCAGUCCUAAGCCCAAGUCUCCAGAGAAGGGCAUCUGGAGGGCCCUCCAGGGUCCAUCCCAACCCAAAUCUUCUGUAGUCAAGAACAAGGAGCCAGUGGUGCAGACACAGAUGCAGUUCCAUCGCUUGGGCCCCACCAAGGAGAGAAGAAGUUCUCAGAGACUAGAGUGGAGGAUGGAGACAGGCUGGGCCCACACCCCCAUGCCCCACAGAAAAAUGUUGCUAACCCCCCGACCCCCCCAGCCACCAGAAUUUCGAUUAAAAGAGACUAAAGUGAUGUGACAAUGAAAUGCAAUGUGUGAGCCUGUCUCAAAUUGGAUCCUAGACCAGAAAAAGGACAUUUGAGGGGAAACUGGCAACGUUUGAAAGGGACCUGCAGAUUAGACGAUAAAGUGCCUCAAGAUUCUACAAAGCAGUGUUUUCAAAUGGCUGACUCCAAAGAAAUGUGUAACUCUGUGAAAUGAAUGCAGACAUCACAAAGCAUUUGCUCAGAAAGCUUCUUUCUGGUUUUUAUCUGAAGAUAUUUCCUUCUUUACCAUCAGCCUCAAUGUGCUCCCAAAUAUCCCUUCGCAGGUUCUACUGAAACAGUGUUGCCAAACUGCUGGAUAGAAUAAAGGUUUAACUCUGUGGCGUGAAUGCACACAUCAGAAAGCGGUUUCUCAGACAGCUUUCUUCUGGUUUUCAUCCUGGGAUAUUCACUUUUUCGCCAUUGGUCUCAAUGAGCUCAGAAAUGUCCAUUCAUAGAAUGGACAAAUACAGUGUUUCCACACUGCUGAAUAAAACGAAACAUUUCACUCUGUGAGACUAAUGCACACGUCACAAAGCAGUUGCUCAGAAACCUUCUUCCUAGUUUUCAUUUGAAGAUAUUUUCUUUUCACUGUAGGCCUCAAUGCACCACCAAUAUUCCUUCACAGAUUCUACAAAAGCAGUGUUUCCAAAAUUCUGAAUGAAAAGAAAAGUUUAACUCUGUGAGAUGAAUGCACACAUCACACAGCAGUUUCUCAGAUUGCUUCCUUCUAGUUUUUAUCCAGGUGUAUUUGCUUUUUUGCUUAUAACCUCAAUGAGCUGUAAAGUAUCCCUUCACAGAUUCUACAAAAACAGUGUUUCCAAACUGCUGAAUCCAAAUAAAUAUUUAACUCUGUGAGAUGAAUGCACACAUCUCAAAGCAGUUUCUCAGAAAGCUUCUUUCUAGUUUUCAUCGGAAGAUAUUUCCUUUUUCACUAUAGGCCUCGUUGCAUUCCCAAGCAUCCCCUCGCAGUUUCUACCAAAACAGUGUUUCCAAAGCACUGAAUGAAAAGAAAGGUUUAAAUCUGCAAGAUGAAAGGACACAUCACAGAAUUGUUUCUCAGAUAGCUUUCUUCUAGUUUUUAUCCUUUGAUAUUAUCUUUUUUGCCAUUGGCCUUAAUGAGCUCCC
rnacentral:lncRNA from 10 species